GAUGAAGAACGUAGCAAAAUGCGAUAAGUAAUGUGAAUUGCAGAAUUCAGUGAAUCAUCGAAUCUUUGAACGCACAUUGCGCCCGCCAGUAUUCUGGCGGGCAUGCCUGUUCGAGCGUCACUUCAACCCUCAAGCACAGCUUGGUGUUGGGACUCGCGUUAAUUCGCGUUCCCCAAAUUGAUUGGCGGUCACGUCGAGCUUCCAUAGCGUAGUAGUAAAACCCUCGUUACUGGUAAUCGUCGCGGCCACGCCGUUAAACCCCAACUUCUGAAUGUUGACCUCGGAUCAGGUAGGAAUACCCGCUGAACUUAAGCAUAUCAAUAAGCGGAGGA
rnacentral:misc_RNA from 1 species